rnacentral:misc_RNA from 1 species
GGUUUAUGCUAGGAAUUUGUCCCCCCUCACCGCUGUUCAGGAGGAAUAGAAUUGCUCCAAUAGAAAACUAGAAUGUAUAACUCAUUAUUAAGAUCAUCACACUCAAAAAAUGCUGCCUACAUGCAAAAGGCAGCCCAUUUCAGCUCCAUCCAUGUAACAUGAAACAAUCAGCAAAAGGGCACUCAUCCAUGUUAUUUCAGUAUAUAUUCACAAACAUGGUCCCAAUCACUCAAAGGUCCUACUAGAACAUCUUUUGACAACUUAACAGAAGGUUAUAAAAGCUGCUAUUUCUUGCAUUGAUGAUUACUAUAAACUCACAUAUUGCAAAGCAAAUUACUAAUAAUUCCUCAUCACAUGUAGAUUGCUCAGUAUUAAUCAUAUGUCACACUGCAUCAUGUUACAUUUAUGAUUGAUCUGGAUAACAAAAUGACAU